AUUAGAAAAACAGGACUUGAACCUGCACCAAAGAACUCAAAAUCCUCUGUACUUCCACUAUACUACUCUCU
rnacentral:tRNA from 1 species